GAUGAACGCUGGCGGCGUGCCUAAUACAUGCAAGUCGAGCGAACAGACGAGGGGCUUGCUCCUCUGACGUUAGCGGCGGACGGGUGAGUAACACGUGGAUAACCUACCUAUAAGACUGGGAUAACUUCGGGAAACCGGAGCUAAUACCGGAUAACAUGUUGAACCGCAUGGUUCAACAGUGAAAGACGGUCUUGCUGUCACUUAUAGAUGGAUCCGCGCCGCAUUAGCUAGUUGGUAAGGUAACGGCUUACCAAGGCAACGAUGCGUAGCCGACCUGAGAGGGUGAUCGGCCACACUGGAACUGAGACACGGUCCAGACUCCUACGGGAGGCAGCAGUAGGGAAUCUUCCGCAAUGGGCGAAAGCCUGACGGAGCAACGCCGCGUGAGUGAAGAAGGUCUUCGGAUCGUAAAACUCUGUUAUUAGGGAAGAACAAAUGUGUAAGUAACUAUGCACGUCUUGACGGUACCUAAUCAGAAAGCCACGGCUAACUACGUG
rnacentral:rRNA from 1 species